AUACAGAGGUUGCAAGCGUUAAUCGGAAUUACUGGGCGUAAAGAGUACGUAGGUGGUUUAUCAAGUUGGCUGUGAAAUACCUGGGCUUAACCUGGGUCUGUCAGUCAAUACUGGUAUAACUAGAGGCCAAGAGAGGGUAGUGGAAUUUCCGGUGUAGCGGUGAAAUGCAUAGAUAUCGGAAGGAACACCAGUGGCGAAGGCGGCUACCUGGCUUGGUUCUGACACUGAGGUACGAAAGCGUGGGGAGCAAACAGGAUUAGAAACCCCAGUAGUCC
rnacentral:rRNA from 1 species